rnacentral:rRNA from 1 species
AACGAACGCUGGCGGCAGGCCUCAUACAUGCAAGUCGAGCGGACGGACCCCUUCGGGGGCGAGUUAGCGGCGAACGGGUGAGUAACAGGUGGAUGAUCUGCCUCCCGGUGGGGGAUAACGGCUGGAAACGGCCGCUAAUACCGCAUUCGGUUGAUGCGUUGCGGCGCAUCAAAGAAAGGCGCUUCACGGCGCUGCCGGGAGAUGAGUCCGCCCCCCAUUAGCUAGUUGGCGGGAUAACAGCCCACCAAGGCUUCGAUGGGUAGCCGAACUGAGAGGUUGAUCGGCCACACUGGAACUGAGACACGGUCCAGACACCUACGGGUGGCAGCAGUAGGGAAUAUUGGGCAAUGGGCGAAAGCCUGACCCAGCCAUGCCGCGUGAGUGACGAAGGUCCUAUGGAUUGUAAAGCUCUUUUCUGAGGAAAGAACAUCCGGGGUAGGAAAUGACCCCGGCUUGACGGUACCUCAGGAAUAAGGAACGGCUAACUCCGUGCCAGCAGCCGCGGUAA